GGCCGCGUAGUUCAGUUGGUUAGAACGCUAGCCUGUCACGCUAGAGGUCGACGGUUCGAGCCCGUUCGCGGUCGCCA
rnacentral:tRNA from 1 species